rnacentral:rRNA from 1 species
GAAACCGGGUGACCUAUCCAUGUCCAGGAUGAAGUGAGGGUAAAACCUCAUGGAGGUCCGAACCCACUCCCGUUGAAAUGGUAGGGGAUGAGGUGUGGAUAGCGGAGAAAUUCCAAUCGAACCCGGAUAUAGCUGGUUCUCCCCGAAAUAGUUUUAGGACUAGCCUCGUGAUCAAGAUUAUCGGAGGUAAAGCACUGAAUGGCCUAGGGGUCGAGAGAUUACCGAAGCCUAUCAAACUCUGAAUGCCGAAUAAUCAUGCACGGGAGUCAGACUGUGUGAGAUAAGUUUCAUAGUCGAAAGGGAAACAGCCCAGACCUACAGCUAAGGUCCCAAAGUACGUUUAAGUGGAAAACGAUGUGAAAUUGCGUAGACAACCAGGAUGUUGGCUUAGAAGCAGCCAUACAUUAAAAGAGUGCGUAAUAGCUCACUGGUCGAGUGACUUUGCGCGGAAAAUUUAACGGGGCUAAAACGUACACCGAAGCUUAGGCUUGCAACUAUGUUGCAGGGGUAGGGGAGCGUUGAAUGAGGGGUGAAGUCGUAGCGAAAGCGACGGUGGACUUCAUUCAAGUGAGAAUGCCGGAAUGAGUAGCGAGAAUUAUGUGAGAAUCAUAAUGGCCGAAAGCCUAAGGUUUUUGGAGGAAGGUUCGUCCGCUCCAAGUAAGUCGGAAGCUAAGGUGAGGCUGAAAAGCGUAGCCGAUGCACAAACGGUUGAAAUUCCGUUACCACAGAAAGAUUUAAACUAAGGGACACUUUUGAAGAGCUGAUGCCGGGUGUUGGUUACCCCGGUCGUAAGGGAACGAAAUUAAGUAGUGAAGUCAGCGUGGAUGAAGGCGAGAAAAGCUUAGUGUAUAUCUUAUGUGUCCGUACCGCAAACCGACACAGGUAGGUAGGAAGAGAAUUCUAAGGCCAACGGGAGAAGGGUAGUUAAGGAACUCGGCAAAAUGUCCCCGUAACUUCGGAAUAAGGGGAGGUUUCUACGGAAACCCGCAGAGAAUAGUCCCAGGCAACUGUUUAUCAAAAACACAGCUCUAUGCUAAAUCGAAAGAUGACGUAUAUGGGGUGACGCCUGCCCGGUGCCGGAAGGUUAAGAGGAGGAGUGAGAGCCCUGAAUCGAAGCCCCGGUAAACGGCGGCCGUAACUAUAACGGUCCUAAGGUAGCGAAAUUCCUUGUCAGGUAAGUUCUGACCCGCACGAAUGGCGUAAUGAUCUGGGAGCUGUCUCGACUGCCCGCCCGGCGAAAUUGUAGUACCGGUGAAGAUGCCGGUUACCCGCGACUAGACGGAAAGACCCCAUGGAGCUUUACUGUAGCUUAAUAUUGGAUUUCGGCAUUUCAUGUACAGGAUAGGUGGGAGACUAGGAAACAUAGGCGUCAGCUUAUGUGGAGUCGUCCUUGGGAUACCACUCUUGGAGUGCUGAAAUUCUAACCUGCAGCCCUGAAUCGGGUUGGGGGACAUUGUUAGGUGGGCAGUUUGACUGGGGC